rnacentral:rRNA from 1 species
UACGGAGGGAGCUAGCGUUGUUCGGAAUUACUGGGCGUAAAGCGUACGUAGGCGGAUUGCUAAGUCAGGGGUGAAAUCCUGGAGCUCAACUCCAGAACUGCCUUUGAUACUGGCGACCUUGAGUCCGGGAGAGGUGAGUGGAACUGCGAGUGUAGAGGUGAAAUUCGUAGAUAUUCGCAAGAACACCAGUGGCGAAGGCGGCUCACUGGCCCGGUACUGACGCUGAGGUGCGAAAGCGUGGGGAGCAAACAGG